ACGGAAUAGAUACCCAGGUAGUCCACGCUGUAAACGAUGAGUGCUAGAUGCCGGAUUUUUUCGGUGUCGCAGCUAAACGCAUUAAGCACUCCACCUGGGAAGUACGAUCGCAAGGUUGAAACUCAAAGGAAUUGACGGGGGCCCGCACAAGCAGUGGAGCAUGUGGUUUAAUUCGAUGCAACGCGAAGAACCUUACCUAGGCUUGAAAACGCUUAUGACCGGCUGUGAAAGCAGCUUUCCCGCAAGGGCAUAAGUACAGGUGCUGCAUGGCUGUCGUCAGCUCGUGCCGUGAGGUGUUGGGUUAAGUCCCGCAACGAGCGCAACCCUUACCAUUAGUUGCCACCGGAGCAAUCCGAGCACUCUAAUGGAACUGCCUACGCAAGUAGUGAGGAAGGUGAGGAUGACGUCAAGUCCGUAUGGCCCUUACGCCUAGGGCUACACACGUGCUACAAUGGCCGCCACAACGGGUCAGCAAAACUCGCGAGAUGGAGCGAAU
rnacentral:rRNA from 1 species